UACGAAGGGGGCUAGCGUUGCUCGGAAUCACUGGGCGUAAAGGGCGCGUAGGCGGCCAUUCAAGUCGGAGGUGAAAGCCCAGGCUCAACCCUGGAAUUGCCUUCGAUACUGUUUGGCUAGAGACCGGAAGAGGUAAGUGGAACUGCGAGUGUAGAGGUGAAAUUCGUAGAUAUUCGCAAGAACACCUGCGGCGAAGGCGGGUUGCUGGGCCGGAACUGACGCUGAGGAGCGAAAGCGUGGGGAGCAAACAGG
rnacentral:rRNA from 1 species